GACGAACGCUGGCGGCGUGCUUAACACAUGCAAGUCGAACGGAAAGGCCCUGCUUUUGUGGGGUGCUCGAGUGGCGAACGGGUGAGUAACACGGGAGUAACCUGCCCUGUACUUUGGGAUAACUUCAGGAAACUGGUGCUAAUACCGGAUAGGAGCUGCUGCUGCAUGGGGGGGGUUGGAAAGUUUCGGCGGUGGGGGAUGGACUGGGGGGUUAUCAGCUUGUUGGUGGGGUAGUGGCUUACCAAGGCUUUGAUGGGUAGCCUGCCUGGGAGGGUGACCGCGCACAUUGGGACUGAGAUAGGGACCAGACUCCUACGGGAGGCAGAAGUGGGAAAUAUUGCACAAUGAGCGGAAGCCUGAUGCAGCAACGCCGCGUGCGGGAUGACGGUUUUCGGGUUGUAAACCGCUUUCGCCUGUGAAGAAGCGUGCGUGACGGUAAUGGGUAAAGAAGCACCGGCUAACUACGUG
rnacentral:rRNA from 1 species